CCGAAAUCCUAGCCCCAUUUUMCCUAAKGAAACCCCCCUUUUCCCCAUAUUAUAAAGAAAACAUUUUAUCUGUUUAGUAUAGGUGAUAGAAAAAUAGAUUGGAGCACACAAAUAGUACCGCAGGGGAAAGAUGAAAUAAAAUGAANCAAAUAUAAGGCACAAAAAAGUAGAGAUAUAACCUCGUACCUUUUGCAUCAGGGUUUACCUAGUCUAAUCAAGCAAAAAGACUUACAGUUGACUUCCCGAAACUAAGCGAGCUACUUCAGGCAGCCUAACGAGCUAACCCGUUUCUGUGGCAAAAGAAUGGAAAGACCUUCAAGUAGAGGUGAUAGACCUAACGAGCUUAGUGAUAGCUGGUUACUCAAGAAAAGGAUUUUAGUCCUACCCAAAAUUAAAAUUAAUUCUAUAAAAUAUUAAUCUAAUUUUGAAGUUAUUCAGAUAAGGUACAGCCUAUCUGAAACAGGAUACAACCUCGACCAACGGGUAAUUUUUUACUUCACCAUAAAGUGGGCCUAAAAGCAGCCACCUUUCAAAUAGCGUCAAAGCUUAUUCGUAAAUUUUAUUAAAAUACCAAUAUUUUUCAACAACCCUUCAUCAGUACUGAGUAAUUCUAUACCUCUAUAGAACUUAUUAUGUUAAAACUAGUAACAAGAAGAAGACCUUCUCUUAAAUGCAUCUGUAAAUCAGAAGGGACACACCACUGAUAAUUAACGUCCAUGAUCUCAAAGUAAAAACUCAACAAGAAAAACUUACUAAUCACAACGUUAACCUAACACAAGAGCAUUCCAAGAAAGAUUAAAAGAAAAAGAAGGAACUCGGCAAAUAUUAACCCCGCCUGUUUACCAAAAACAUCGCCUCUUGAAACACAUAAGANGUCCAGCCUGCCCAGUGACAUCUGUUCAACGGCCGCGGUAUCCUAACCGUGCGAAGGUAGCGUAAUCACUUGUUCUUUAAAUGAGGACUAGUAUGAAUGGCAUCACGAGGGUUGCACUGUCUCCUCUUUCUAAUCAGUUAAACUAAUCCCUCCGUGAAGAAGCGGAGAUAUAUAUAUAAGACGAGAAGACCCUAUGGAGCUUUAAACAAAACAGCAUUUGCUAUUACACAUAUGAAUCUCAGGAAACUAAUUUUUAUUUUAGCAUUCUGGCUGUCAGUUUUAGGUUGGGGCGACCGCGGAGUAAAAUAUAACCUCCACGCUGAAAAGGACAUUCCUUAAGCAAAAAGUUACAACUUUAUGCAUCAAUAAAUUGACAUUAAUUGACCCAAUAUUUUGAUCAACGAACCAAGUUACCCUAGGGAUAACAGCGCAAUCCACUUCGAGAGCCCUUAUCGACAAGUGGGUUUACG
rnacentral:rRNA from 1 species